rnacentral:rRNA from 1 species
GCUCAGGAUGAACGCUAGCUACAGGCUUAACACAUGCAAGUCGAGGGGCAGCAUGAACUUAGCUUGCUAAGUUUGAUGGCGACCGGCGCACGGGUGAGUAACACGUAUCCAACCUGCCGAUGACUCGGGGAUAGCCUUUCGAAAGAAAGAUUAAUACCCGAUGGCAUAGUUCUUCCGCAUGGUAGAACUAUUAAAGAAUUUCGGUCAUCGAUGGGGAUGCGUUCCAUUAGGUUGUUGGCGGGGUAACGGCCCACCAAGCCUUCGAUGGAUAGGGGUUCUGAGAGGAAGGUCCCCCACAUUGGAACUGAGACACGGUCCAAACUCCUACGGGAGGCAGCAGUGAGGAAUAUUGGUCAAUGGACGAGAGUCUGAACCAGCCAAGUAGCGUGAAGGAUGACUGCCCUAUGGGUUGUAAACUUCUUUUAUACGGGAAUAAAGUUAGCCACGUGUGGCUUUUUGUAUGUACCGUAUGAAUAAGGAUCGGCUAACUCCGUGCCAGCAGCCGCGGUAAUACGGAGGAUCCGAGCGUUAUCCGGAUUUAUUGGGUUUAAAGGGAGCGUAGGCGGACGCUUAAGUCAGUUGUGAAAGUUUGCGGCUCAACCGUAAAAUUGCAGUUGAUACUGGGUGUCUUGAGUACAGUAGAGGCAGGCGGAAUUCGUGGUGUAGCGGUGAAAUGCUUAGAUAUCACGAAGAACUCCGAUUGCGAAGGCAGCUUACUGGAUUGUAACUGACGCUGAUGCUCGAAAGUGUGGGUAUCAAACAGGAUUAGAUACCCUGGUAGUCCACACAGUAAACGAUGAAUACUCGCUGUUUGCGAUAUACAGUAAGCGGCCAAGCGAAAGCGUUAAGUAUUCCACCUGGGGAGUACGCCGGCAACGGUGAAACUCAAAGGAAUUGACGGGGGC